rnacentral:tRNA from 1 species
GGGCCGUUAGCUCAGCUGGUAGAGCGCUUCCAUGGCAUGGAAGAGGUCGCAAGUUCAAGUCUUGUACGGUCCA